UCCAAAGAUACUUCAUGGAGCCAAACCAAAGUAUGUUUUGUUCAAAUGGCUCUGUGACCUUAAGAAUAUGAUUUGAAAAUAUCCAAUCUGAUAAUUUAGCCAAGAACUCUGAUUCUUAGACCAACUGCAGAAUGUGAAAAGUUGCCAAGUUCACAAUUCAAGACUCACCUUUACUCAUAGCGGCAUCUUUCAGAAGCAUCUUCUAAAAAUCCUAUUUUUAUAUGGAGAGAUUUUACUGACAGCAGCUGAGUCUGUGAGGUAAAUACUACACUCUCAGCUCCUCUCUUGUAAUAUACGACUUUGUAAAGAUGUGGUUCUUUGUUUCUAUUUGAGAGCUUUUUUUUUCCUUAAAAAAAUUUUUUUAAAAUUUAUAGUUUGUCAAGUGGGUUUCCACAUAACACCCAGUGCUCUUCCCCACAAGUAAAGAUGUGGUCUUAGUGCAGUUUACUUUGUAGUCAUGCCUGACCCCUGUCUCUUUUUGUUUUAUUUUAAUCCUGACGCCCAACUCUGAGAAUCCUAAGUAAGUGGCUUAUGCAGUUCUGGGUCAAGUUGAAGAGUAAAAUCCAGUCCUAAUGCAACAGGAUGAAUGGCCUGAAAGCACCGAGUGGUCAUUCUCUUGCAAACACUGAGGCCAAGGAGCUAGAGUCUCAUUUCUGCCUUGUUUCUCUAACCAGGUGAAUGGACGAAGAACAUGUGCUGUCUAUAUACCAAUAUAAUACUCAGCCAUGAAAAAGGAUGAAAUCUUGCCAUUUGUGACAACAAGGAUGAACUGAGAGGGUAUUCUGUUGAGUGAAACAAGUCAGAGAAAGACAACGCGUUGGGCUCUGUGCUGACCGCUAGCUUCGGAUUCUGUGUGU